AGAAACUAACGAGGAUUCUCCCAGUAACGGCGAGUGAACGGAGAUGAGCCCAGCGCCGAAUCGCUGCCCCGGUGCUGGGGCAGCGAACUGUGGCGUAUAGGUGCGGCUGUGCCCGGUCUUGUUUCGUGCACUCAAAGUCCCCUUGAGCGGGGCCACAGUCCAGAGAAGGUGCUAGACCUGUACGGGUGACGGGACGACCGGAACUGGCCGCACUCUGGAGUCGGGUUGCCUGAGAUCGCAGCCCAAAGUGGGUGGUAAACCUCAUCUAAGGCUAAAUACGGCCACGAGACCGAUAGCAAACAAGUACCGUGAGGGAAAGUUGCAAAGUACUCUGAAAAGAGAGUUCAAGAGGACGUGAAACCGCUGGGAAGGAAGCGAAUAGAGUCGACGAAAUCUGCCAACAUUCAGCCGGUCAGCUCUGCGGCCCAUUGUCACGUUGGUGUGCACACAGCAAUGUGUGCGCGCCGCGACGUCGCGACUGAUGGUGCACUGCUGGGCAGAGUGUGGCACGUGUGACCGGUGCAUUUGAUGGCGGUAUGCGUCGAGAGCCGCGUUCAAGUGUGCACGCCAGGCGUGCACCCCGGAGAGGACCGUGCAGCGUUCGGGUUGAGCGGAAACCUACGGGGAGUGCGCAGCGGUGGUGUUGCACACGCUGAUGCGGUCUCCGCACACUGGCGCAAUCCUGCAACUGCGUCGCCACUGGCACUUCGAGCUGUGUGGCCCCGCCGGCCCGGGUGUGUUUUUGUUGCGGCUUGCCGGCCGUAACGGACGCUCCGGACGGUGUGGUGCUCGCAUUCGACGGUGUGUGUGCGAACGACAACUCGGGGAUUGUGUCUCGGCGUGAGUGUCGAUCACCUAUUCGACCCGUCUUGAAACACGGACCAAGGAGUCUAGCAUAUGCGCAAGUUGUUGGGUGGUAAACCCGUUUGUUUGUGAAAAUCAGAGGCGCAAUGAAAGUGAAGUGGGCAGGCGAGUGCAUCACAGCACUCGUCGGCCGUGAGAUGUGAGCCGGUGCUGCGCAUUGUGUGGCGCCGGCGCAACAUUGCCCCGUCUCGGAUUGCUCCCGUGGCUGCGGCGGGCGCCGGUACUCUGGUGCAGGUGCACGUUGGCGCCGGGAUGCAAUGGGGCGGAGGUUGAGCGCAUACGCUGGGACCCGAAAGAUGGUGAACUAUGCCUGAGCAGGAUGAAGCCAGAGGAAACUCUGGUGGAGGUCCGAAGCGAUUCUGACGUGCAAAUCGAUCGUCUGACUUGGGUAUAGGGGCGAAAGACUAAUCGAA
rnacentral:rRNA from 1 species